UACGAAGGGGGCUAGCGUUGUUCGGAUUUACUGGGCGUAAAGCGCACGUAGGCGGACUAAUAAGUCAGAGGUGAAAUCCCAGGGCUCAACCCUGGAACUGCCUUUGAUACUGUUAGUCUUGAGUAUGGAAGAGGUGAGUAGAAUUCCGAGUGUAGAGGUGAAAUUCGUAGAUAUUCGGAGGAACACCAGUGGCGAAGGCGGCUCACUGGUCCAUUACUGACGCUGAGGUGCGAAAGCGUGGGGAGCAAACAGG
rnacentral:rRNA from 1 species